UACAGUCAUAUCAAGUUGAAAUGCCAGCUCUCAUACAAUCACUGAAGUUAAGCAAUGUCGAGCCUAGCCAGUACCUAAAUAGGUGACUGUUUGGGAAUACCAGGUGCUGUAAG